ensembl:misc_RNA Metazoa_SRP Metazoan signal recognition particle RNA
GCCAGGCAUGGUGACGCGUGCCAGUAGUCCCAGCUACUCAGGAGGCUGAGGCGGGAGGAUUGCUUGAGCCUGGGAGGCAGAGGUUGCAGUGAGCCGAGAUCGCGCCACUGCACUCCAGCCUAGGCAACAGAGUGAAAUCCUGCCUCUA